rnacentral:tRNA from 2 species
GCCGCUGUCGGCCGCGGGGCUGAGUCUGAUCGGCGCGGACGGCAAGGCCGGGUUCGACGAUCCGGCGGCGGCCC